UUGCCAGCACAUAUAUUAAAAUUAGAAAGAUACAGAGAAGAUUAGCGUGGUCCCUGAGCAAGGAUGACAGCAAAUUUGUGAAGCAUUCCAUAUUUUU
ensembl:snRNA U6 U6 spliceosomal RNA